GUUUUAGUAACAGCAAAAAUAAAACUAACAUAGUAAGCGCUAAAUAAACGCUGGGGGACACUCCCUGCCGUUUAAUUACGGUACAUGAGAUUACAAUCUGAAAUUGCCUCAUGAAGUCUCCAAACGAUCUCCUCCGGCUAAGGCAAAUGCGGGACCGCUCCCGCCUCUGCCGUCCACACAACCACAGCAGGCUACAACGCGCUCCGAACCGGCGACGGACGGAGCCUCCCCGAGUGCCCAGGAACACAGGGCUUGCCCCGGCCGCCGGCCCUCAGCUCCCCGCUCCAGGGCGCGGGGCGGUGGACGGCAGGGAGGGACACGCUGCCGCGUUUUCGCGGGAGCCGCGGACCCCAGCGUCCAGGCUGGCGUCGGCUGCGCCCGACCGCGCAACCCCCGCGUUCUGCGGGCAGGGACAGCGCCUCGGCGAGCCGCGCCCCGACCCCGGGGCCCGCAGCCCCCCGGGCUGGCCCCUCGGCCCCGGCCACGCUCCAGUCACGGCUGACGCCCCGCGGCGAGAGGGGCAACACCGACGCCAGGCCCCGACCCGCACCGGCAGCGCAGACGCCCGCGGGGCGCACAGUUUGGAUCGUCCGUCGUGUUCCCGCCACCAUGGUGGACGUCAUGGAGCUGCCCAAGUCGCGCAUCAACGCCAGCAUGCUCUCUCAGUUCAUCGACCGGCCAGUCUGCUUCGUGGGGAGGCUGGAAAAGCUCGAUGAAGAAAUCUCUGGAAUUGUGGAAGUCGUUGGAAGAGUAACAGCCAAGGCAACCAUCAUGUGUGCAUCUUAUGUCCAGUUCAAAGAAGAUAACAAUCCUUUUGAUCUUGGACUUUACAAUGAAGCUGUGAAAAUUACCCACGA